GAUGAACGCUGGCGGCGUGCCUAAUACAUGCAAGUCGAGCGAACGGACGAGAAUCUUGCUUCUCUGAUGUUAGCGGCGGACGGGUGAGUAACACGUGGAUAACCUACCUAUAAGACUGGGAUAACUUCGGGAAACCGGAGCUAAUACCGGAUGAUAUGUUGAACCGCAUGGUUCAAAAGUGAAAGACGGUCUUGCUGUCACUUAUAGAUGGAUCCGCGCUGCAUUAGCUAGUUGGUAAGGUAACGGCUUACCAAGGCAGCGAUGCGUAGCUGACCUGAGAGGAUGAUCGGCCACACUGGAACUGAGACACGGUCCAGACUCCUACGGGAGGCAGCAGUAGGGAAUCUUCCGCAAUGGGCGAAAGCCUGACGGAGCCACGCCGCGUGAGUGAAGAAGGUCUUCGGAUCGUAAAACUCUGUUAUUAGGGAAGAACAUCAGUGUGAGUAAAUGUGCCCAUCUUGACGGUACCUACACAGAAAGCCACGGCUAACUACGUG
rnacentral:rRNA from 1 species